rnacentral:tRNA from 1 species
GUACCUGUAGCGCAAUAGAUAGCGCGUUGGACUUCUAAUCCAAAGGUCAUAGGUUCAAAUCCUACCUGGGAUG